AUGGCUAUGAUGAUUUGCACAGGGGUAUGAGACCCAGCUGUAUAUGAGGGCUGAGUGUAAAUGCUUUAUCUUGGUUUAGCCAAGCAUGUGGCAGGCUAACUGAGAAAGUAUUUGCAUACAAUUGCAAUGAUCUGAGCCAG
ensembl:snoRNA